rnacentral:tRNA from 1 species
GCCAGCGUAGCUCAAUCGGUAGAGCAACUGACUUGUAAUCAGUAGGUUGCCAGUUCGAUUCUGGCCGCUGGCU